AUUGAACGCUGGCGGCAGGCCUAACACAUGCAAGUCGAGCGAGCGGCGGACGGGUGAGUAAUAUAUGGGGAUCUGCCUGAUAGAGGGGGAUAACUACUGGAAACGGUGGCUAAUACCGCAUACUAUCGGAUGAACCCAUAUGGGAUUAGCUAGUAGGUGGGGUAAAGGCUCACCAAGGCGACGAUCUCUAGCUGGUCUGAGAGGAUGAUCAGCCACACUGGGACUGAGACACGGCCCAGACUCCUACGGGAGGCAGCAGUGGGGAAUAUUGCACAAUGGGCGCAAGGCUGAUGCAGCCAUGCCGUGUGUGUGAAGAAGGUCUUCGGAUUGUAAAGCACUUUAAGUUGGGAGGCGUUACCCGCAGAAUAAGCACCGGCUAACUCCGUGCCAGCAGCCGCGGUAAUAC
rnacentral:rRNA from 1 species